UACGUAGGGGGCUAGCGUUGUCCGGAAUCAUUGGGCGUAAAGCGCGUGUAGGCGGUCCGGUAAGUCCGCUGUGAAAGUCGGGGGCUCAACCCUCGAAUGCCGGUGGAUACUGUCGGGCUAGAGUGCGGUAGGGGAGACUGGAAUUCCUGGUGUAGCGGUGGAAUGCGCAGAUAUCAGGAGGAACACCGGUGGCGAAGGCGGGUCUCUGGGCCGUAACUGACGCUGAGGCGCGAAAGCUAGGGGGAGCGAACGGG
rnacentral:rRNA from 1 species